rnacentral:misc_RNA from 1 species
AAGAGUUAUAAAAAACUCCCAACCCAUGUGAACUUACUUUUGUUGCCUCGGCAGGAUCGACCAACUCCGACAGAGCCUACCCUGUAGGUGAUGUUGGGCUGGCCGGUGAAGUCUUGCCGGUGGACCAUUAAACUCUGUCUAUUAUAUAUUAUUCUGAAAUUGUGGAUAAAUAAGUUA